rnacentral:rRNA from 1 species
AUUGAACGCUGGCGGCAGGUCUAACACAUGCAAGUCGAACGAGUGGCGGACGGGUGAGUAAUGUCUGGGAAACUGCCCGAUGGAGGGGGAUAACUACUGGAAACGGUAGCUAAUACCGCAUACCAUCGGAUGUGCCCAGAUGGGAUUAGCUUGUAGGUUAGGUAACGGCUCACCUAGGCGACGAGCCCUAGCUGGUCUGAGAGGAUGACCAGCCACACUGGGACUGAGACACGGCCCAGACUCCUACGGGAGGCAGCAGUGGGGAAUCUUGCACAAUGGGCGAAAGCCUGAUGGAGCAAGGCCGCGUGUAUGAAGAAGGCCUUCGGGUUGUAAAGUACUUUCAGCGGGGAGGCGUUACCCGCAGAGGAAGCACCGGCUAACUCCGUGCCAGCAGCCGCGGUAAUUC